GAGUCACACCAUUGUAUAGUCCCCUCCCUUGCAGUAUGGGCUUCUAACCAAUAGAUUAUUGCAAAGGCGGUGGAAUGUCAUUCUUCUAUUUUCACAGACAGAAGUGAAACAUUCUCAGUAAAUACUGACCCUGAAGUAAGUUGACACAUUGUGAUGCUGUAAGUCUACGGCAAAACCUAUGUGGCAAAGGACUCUCAAGAGUUGGAAGUGUCCCCAAACCAAUGACCAGUAAGAAAACAUAAAUCUAAAUCCUAUAACCACAUGAAGAGGAAUUCUGCUAACAACCUACGGAAUCCUUCCAGCUCCCCAUGCUCACUUCCCUGAGCUUGAAUUAAGUGCUUUUUCCAUGUAUGCCCCCCAGACCCUAGUAAGUAAACUUUGCCGUUACUUUUACCAUAGUCUGUAGUAAUUACAAUAAAAUUGAGAAGUUCCUGUGUCUGCUAAAAAGUUAGCAGAGGUUUGCAGACAUCUAUUUGGGUUAAUUACUUGUAUUGAGGGACAGAGACCUGUGAGAAGAAAUGUUUUAUCAGAGCCAAAAAAUAAGAGAGGGAAAUGGAGAAGAGAAUGUGCAUCUCUUCUCCAGCUUUAACCCCAAAGGCUGGAUUGGACAGAACUUUGUGAGACCUGGGGCAUAAGUAGCGAGGCUUGGUAGUUCAGGUGACAAAGCAAAACUUAGAGGUAAGGCUCAGGGCAUUUUCACAUUCUGCUGAAAACAGCAUGUUACACCAACCCAAUGGCAACGUGGUGCCCCGAGGAAUUUGCAAGGUUUGGAAUACAGGACAUUGAAGAGUGGGAGGGGCAACAUACAUGCAGAGGUACCACUAGCAGUCAGAAGUGCCUUUGUGGGAGCCCAAAAAAGAAAAUUGAAGGAUUCUAUGAACACGUAUGAGGUAUCCUUGGGAAUUCCUGAGUAACUCAGGAAACUUAGAAGGAAAACUGAUGUUCAUAACUUAAGAAGGUCUGAGGCAACAAAUUCAGACAUUAAGGUUAAUAUAAAUUUAUCUACAUCUAACAGAUGGUGAGGCCUAGAGAGUUUUGUAGGAUUAUUUCUAUAUCCCUACUUCCUUAAUUAGAUUGUGAUUUCCUGAGAGGAGAGACUGUGCCUGGUUCACUGUGGGAUUGCUAGAAUUUGGCAUAGUGUCUGAAACAUAUAGUAUAUAUUCAUUUAAUAAUUACUGCCUAAAUGAGUCAUAGGUGGUAUUAGAACUGAAAAUUCAGGACUCUUUACCUGAAUUAGUAUUGAAUUGACUCCUGAUUUCCUUUAUAAAAUAUUUGUAACUGGGCCUUUGAAGAAAUGUAGAAUUUGUGCUUCUUAAAUAUGUGUGUUUUUCUCUCUUACCUCUGUGCUUUCAUAAACAUUAUUUUAGCUGGAUAUACACUCUUUUGCAUCUUCUUAGCCUAGCUGAUUUUUCACUUAUUCUAGAGGUUCACAGGCAUCUAUUUGCAUGAAUUAUUUGUAUUGGGAGAAAAGACCUGUUUCGCAUGGGUAACUCAGUUUCACAUGUGUGAAUAAAAACAAAGUGGCAAGCAGAUUAAAGAUAGUAAGUGAACUUUCAAACAUUCUCCUCAGUCUGUUUCUAACCACAUCCAGUAAAAUACAGUGUUAUCUGGUAAGAACAGAUGGGUUUUCAAACAAAUAUAAUCAAUUUCUACUAUAAUUUGGUUAAUGCUGAAUGACGAAGUUUUGAAAUUGUGUAUAAAGGGUUUUCUCUGUAAUUCCCCCAAACAGUACUAUUUGGGAGUGAGUAUCUAGUCAGUGAAUAUUAACUCCUUACAUUUCAAGUACAGCACAUGUGAACAUUUCUACACAUACCAUAUGCUGCAUUGGAUGGUACAUAAAUAACAAGGUACAUUCAGAGCAUCAUGCAGAUAUAAAGGCUGGGGUGUCUGAGGUAGCAUUUUCAUUCACAAGACUGAAUCUGUGUGUUGUGGUCAGAAAUCAAAGCUAAUGUCAAAAUCUUCUUACAAAAACAAGAUUUUUCAUAGUGAUGAGAGAAUUUACAGCAACCAAACUGAUUUAUUGAUGAAUUUACUAUGCUCAUGUGUCAUUAAAUAGUAUGUGUAGACUGAAAUACAAGAGACCUACACUGUUGCACAGGCUUUCAUGAGCGUAUGUGCUUCUGCUGCAGAGCUGCCUAUGGGCUACUGGGGCUCCUGGAUGGUCUAGCCAUGUGUCUUCCCUAGGAGUAUAUUUAAAGAUUUAUGCAAAAAUCUUUGUGGCACCAAUAACAAGUUGGAUUCUUGCACUCCCACUGUCAAAAAAAAAAAAAAAAAAAAAAGCAGUAAGC